rnacentral:rRNA from 1 species
GUGGGGAAUAUUGGGCAAUGGGGGAAACCCUGACCCAGCAACGCCGCGUGAAGGAAGAAGGCUUUCGGGUUGUAAACUUCUUUUAUGAGGGACGAAGAAGUGACGGUACCUCAUGAAUAAGCCACGGCUAACUACGUGCCAGCAGCCGCGGUAAUACGUAGGUGGCAAGCGUUGUCCGGAUUUACUGGGUGUAAAGGGCGCGUAGGCGGGAUAGCAAGUCAGGUGUGAAAUCCGGGGGCUUAACCCUCGAACUGCACUUGAAACUGUUAUUCUUGAGUGAUGGAGAGGCAAGCGGAAUUCCUAGUGUAGCGGUGAAAUGCGUAGAUAUUAGGAGGAACACCAGUGGCGAAGGCGGCCUGCUGGACAUUAACUGACGCUGAGGCGCGAAAGCGUGGGGAGCAAACAGGAUUAGAAACCCGAGUAGUCC